AUUGAACGCUGGCGGCAGGCCUAACACAUGCAAGUCGAACGCGUGGCGGACGGGUGAGUAAUGUAUGGGAAACUGCCCGAUUGAGGGGGAUAACUACUGGAAACGGUAGCUCAUACCGCAUCCCAUCGGAUGUCCCCAGAUGGGAUUAGCUAGUAGGUGGGGUAAAGGCUCACCUAGGCGACGAUCCCUAGCUGGUCUGAGAGGAUGACAAGCCACACUGGACCUGGGACACGGUCCAGAAUCCUACGGGAGGCAGCAGUGGGGAAUAUGGUACAAUGGGCGAAAGGCUGAUGCAGCCAUGCCGCGUGUAUGAAGAAGGCAUUAGGGUUGGAAAGUACUUUCAGCGGGGAGGCGUUACCCGCAGAAGAAGCACCGGCUAACUCCGUGCCAGCCGACGCGGUAAUUC
rnacentral:rRNA from 1 species